UCCUCCGGGCGCGCGCGGCGCCGCCGGGGGCGGACCCCAGCCGCUGGCCUCGCGGUCCCUUGGCCGGACUGUCCGAAGCCUGCAGGCUCCCAACCCGGACCUCCUCUUUUUGUUUUGAGACAGGGUCUCUCUGUGUAGACCAGGCUGGCCUUCUGCCCGGAUACCACAUGGAGAGCCGCUUUGUAGGAAGUGCCCUCGCUCCACAGGACAGAUCCGAGGAGACUUCUCAGGACGCCAGGUAAUGAAGGAAGAAAUUUACGGAAAGGAAGAAAUGGCGGCCACAUUCACACUGUUAAGCUGAAGGAAAGAUACUAACUCAGUAUCUCAGUCUGCCUUGAGCUCCCGCGUGGCUCACAGUUCAAGAACAUAAAGGCAAAAUUCUAAAAUUCUAUGCUGCCUUUGACCACUUGCUACCUUACCUUACCUUCGUGUUUCACCUUGACUCCUGGCUGCUCCGAGAAUGGGGAGGUUGGCCUUUUCCUCUGAGACUGUCCUCAAAAACUGUCUCCUAACUACCAAUGCCCAGAGCUUCCUAUAUCAUAGGCUUUAAGCCUUGUUUAAAUGUCUCAUUUCUUAAGUGAGAGCUUCCAUAAAGAGCGUCUUUGGGACUGCAGUCUCCCCUCAGUCCCCGAACACUACUCCUAGUUUUCUCCAGGACACUCACCACCAUUUAAUGCUUUAGUAUUUCAUUUUAAUUCUCUUUGGUUUUUGUUUGUUUUGAGAGGGUCUCUAUGGAAGAGUAAGCUGGCCUCAAUCAAACUCAUAGAACUCCUCCUGCUUCUGCCUCCUGACUGCUGGGAUGAAAGGCUUAUCACACUAUGCCUGGCUCUCUUGAUUUUCUUAACUCUUCUCUUUUCCCCCAAUAAAGAAUAAACUCUGUGAGAGU
rnacentral:lncRNA from 1 species